UGUUGAAACACUGGUUCAAAUCUGAUCACCGAAAUUAAGCAACGUCGAACCCGGUCAGUACUUAGAUGGGUGACGGCUUGGGAAUACCAGGUACUGA